UACAGCAGCCUGAGUGGACGGCGUUUUAUUGGGCCUAAAGCGUCGCGAGCCGGUGUGGACUUCGGGGAAAUAACCCGCUAACGGGUGUGAAUUCUGCGAACACGGCCAGACUUGGGACCGGAAGAGGUGAGGGGUACUUCUCAGGGAAGGGGUAAAAUCCUGACAUCCUGAGGGGACACACCUGUUGCGAAGGCGCCACACUAGAACGGAUCCGACGGUCAGGGACGAAGCCUAGGGGCACGAACCGGAUUAGAUACCCGGGUAGUCCUAGGUGUAAACGCUGAGAACUUGAGGUGGGGGACCCUCCGAGCGUUCUAAGGGCCGAAGCGAAGGUGAUAAGUCCACUGCCUGGGAAGUACGGCCGCAGGGCUGAAACUAAAAGGAAUGGGGGGGGGACCACCGAAACCUGAGGAUUGGGCGGUUAAAUUGGAUUCACGGCCGGA
rnacentral:rRNA from 1 species